rnacentral:rRNA from 1 species
UUGAACGCUGGCGGAAUGCUUUACACAUGCAAGUCGAGCGGCAGCACGGGGGCAACCCUGGUGGCGAGCGGCGAACGGGUGAGUAAUACAUCGGAACAUGCCCAGUCGUGGGGGAUAACACUUCGAAAGAAGUGCUAAUACCGCAUACGUCCUGAGGGGGAAAGCGGGGGAUCGCAAGACCUCGCGCGAUUGGAGCGGCCGAUGUCAGAUUAGCUAGUUGGUGGGGUAAAGGCCUACCAAGGCAACGAUCUGUAGCUGGUCUGAGAGGAUGAUCAGCCACACUGGGACUGAGACACGGCCCAGACUCCUACGGGAGGCAGCAGUGGGGAAUUUUGGACAAUGGGGGCAACCCUGAUCCAGCCAUUCCGCGUGAGUGAAGAAGGCCUUCGGGUUGUAAAGCUCUUUCGGCAGGAACGAAACGGUGAGCUCUAACAUAGCUUGCUAAUGACGGUACCUGAAGAAGAAGCACCGGCUAACUACGUG